GUGUGUGCACACAUCCAUCUCUCUCUGUCUCUCUGUCUCUCUCUCUCAGGACCAGAGGGUUGCAACCUGUUCAUCUACCACCUCCCUCAGGAGUUUGGAGAUGGAGAGCUGAUGCAGAUGUUCCUUCCUUUCGGUAAUGUCAUCUCCUCCAAAGUGUUUGUGGAUCGGGCGACAAACCAAAGUAAAUGCUUUGGCUUUGUGAGUUUCGAUAACCCAGGUAGUGCCCAAGCUGCCAUCCAAUCAAUGAACGGCUUUCCAGAUCGGCCAUGAAAAGACCUCAAGGUGCAGCUGAAGAGCCAAAGGAUGCCAACC